rnacentral:rRNA from 1 species
CGGACGGGUGAGUAACGCGUGGGUAACCUACCCUGUACACACGGAUAACAUACUGAAAGGUAUGCUAAUACGGGAUAAUAUAUUUGAGAAGCAUCUCUUGAAUAUCAAAGGUGAGCCAGUACAGGAUGGACCCGCGUCUGAUUAGCUAGUUGGUAAGGUAACGGCUUACCAAGGCGACGAUCAGUAGCCGACCUGAGAGGGUGAUCGGCCACAUUGGAACUGAGACACGGUCCAAACUCCUACCGGGAGGCAGCAUG